CGCGGCCUAUCAGCUUGUUGGUGAGGUAACGGCUCACCAAGGCAUCGACGGGUAGCUGGUCUGAGAGGAUGAUCAGCCACACUGGGACUGAGACACGGCCCAGACUCCUACGGGAGGCAGCAGUGGGGAAUCUUGCACAAUGGGCGAAAGCCUGAUGCAGCAACGCCGCGUGCGGGAAGAAGGCCUUAGGGUUGUAAACCGCUUUCAGCAGGGAAGAAAAUGACGGUACCUGUAGAAGAAGGUGCGGCCAACUACGUGCCAGCAGCCGCGGUGACACGUAGGCACCAAGCGUUGUCCGGAUUUAUUGGGCGUAAAGAGCUCGUAGGCGGUUCGGUAAGUCGGGUGUGAAAACUCUGGGCUCAACCCAGAGCCGCCACCCGAUACUGCUGUGACUUGAGUUCGGUAGGGGAGCGGGGAGUUCCUGGUGUAGCGGUGAAAUGCGCAGAUAUCAGGAGGAACACCAGUGGCGAAGGCGCCGCUCUGGGCCGACACUGACGCUGAGGAACGAAAGCGUGGGUAGCAAACAGGAUUAGAUACCCUGGUGGUCCACGCCGUAAACGUUGGGCACUAGGUGUGGGUCUCGACCAACGAGAUCCGCGCCGUCGCUAACGCAUUAAGUGCCCCGCCUGGGGAAAUCG
rnacentral:rRNA from 1 species